CUGGCCAGAUACAGUUUAACCCCGCAAGUGGCAGGCUAAAGGCAGAAGAAGGUGACCCUCUCACAGUGAGAUGUUCUGCUGACUGUAACCCCGCCUGCACUGUGACCUGGUGGGACACAUCCAGACAGAGGGUGAUCACGGGACAGAGGGAGGCUGUGUUGUAUAUACCAGCUGUAGACAGAUCUGUGUCUGGACAGUACACGUGUCACGUCAACAAUACACAUGGAAGUACAUCACGGAACCUGACGCUGGACGUUUUCUCACGUGAGGUUACUGAAGCUGGCGUCGCUUCCAUCAUCUACGUGGCUGCUGUUUGUUCUGUGCUGAUCGUCGUCAUCGCCGUGGUCGUCAUAUUUGCUGUUCGUAGAAAACAGACAGGUGAAGAGAGAGGACACAUUCAUAACCA